GGAUUGUGAAUCCACCAUGCGCGA
rnacentral:tRNA from 2 species